CCUACGGGUGGCAGCAGUGAGGAAUAUUGGUCAAUGGACGCUAGUCUGAACCAGCCAAGUAGCGUGAAGGAUGACUGCCCUAUGGGUUGUAAACUUCUUUUAUAAUGGAAUAAAAUGCAGCAUGUGUGCCUCUUUGCAUGUACUUUAUGAAUAAGGAUCGGCUAACUCCGUGCCAGCAGCCGCGGUAAUACGGAGGAUCCGAGCGUUAUCCGGAUUUAUUGGGUUUAAAGGGAGCGUAGGUGGGUUGUUAAGUCAUUUAUGAAAGUUUGCGGCUCAACCGUAAAAUUGCAAUUGAUACUGGCAGCAUUGAGUACAGUAGAGGUAGGCGGAAUUCGUGGUGUAGCGGUGAAAUGCUUAGAUAUCACGAAGAACCCCGAUUGCGAAGGCAGCUUACUAAACUGUGACUGACACUGAUGCACGAAAGCGUGGGGAUCAAACAGGAUUAGAUACCCGUGUAGUC
rnacentral:rRNA from 1 species